GGACUCGUUGUGAAGUUAUUCAUGCCCCGGAUAAUUAACACGAAUGGUUUUGAGCUUUUAAAUGGGAGUUCAUGAUAAGCUGUGUGAGGUUAACCAGUGUUAGCCCACCCAACAGUGAGGGAGAGAGAGAGAGAGAGCAGCGUUAGCUCCAUGGGUCAGUGAAGUGCAACAUGAGAGAUCCCUGCAGAAAUCAUCACAUGGAUUUACAAAUCUAACCUUUAUGGAAAACUUUGAGACAGGACUGCUGAAGAGAGACAGGAAAUGUGGG